rnacentral:rRNA from 1 species
CCUACGGGCGGCAGCAGUGAGGAAUAUUGGUCAAUGGGCGCGAGCCUGAACCAGCCAAGUCGCGUGAGGGAUGACGGCCCUACGGGUUGUAAACCUCUUUUGCCGGGGAGCAACGGGCGCCACGUGUGGCGCCACUGAGAGUACCCUGAGAAAAAGCAUCGGCUAACUACGUGCCAGCAGCCGCGGUAAUACGGAGGAUUCGAGCGUUAUCCGGAUUUAUUGGGUUUACAGGGUGCGUAGGCGGAUCGUUAAGUCAGUGGUAAAAUUGAGGUGCUCAACCCCUUCCCGCCAUUGAAACUGCAGCUCUUGAGUGAAGUAGAGGCAGGCGGAAUUCCUAGUGUAGCGGUGAAAUGCGUAGAUAUUAGGAGGAACACCAGUGGCGAAGGCGGCCUGCUGGGCUUUUACUGACGCUGAGGCUCGAAAGUGUGGGGAGCAAACAGGAUUAGAUACCCCAGUAGUC